rnacentral:rRNA from 1 species
UACGUAGGGGGCAAGCGUUGUCCGGAUUUAUUGGGCGUAAAGAGCGUGUAGGCGGCCAGGUAGGUCUGGUGUGAAAACUCGAGGCUCAACCUCGAGAGGUCAUCGGAAACCAUCUGGCUAGAGUCCGGAAGAGGAGAGUGGAAUUCCCGGUGUAGCGGUGAAAUGCGCAGAUAUCGGGAAGAACACCUAUGGCGAAGGCAGCGCUCUGGGACGGUACUGACGCUGAGACGCGAAAGCGUGGGGAGCGAACAGG